rnacentral:tRNA from 1 species
GGGGGCGGAUCGGGACUGGUGUCUCGUCCGGUCUUCAAAACCGUGCAAGACGUCUUUGGGCGUCUGGUGGGUUCGAUUCCCACACGCUCCCGCCA